rnacentral:rRNA from 1 species
UUCCGGUUGAUCCUGCCAGAGGUCACUGCUAUUGGGAUUCGACUAAGCCAUGCGAGUUGUGAGGGUUCGGCCCUCAGCUGACGGCUCAGUAACACGUAGAUAAUUUGCCCUUAGGUGGAGGAUACCCUCGGGAAACUGAGAAUAAUACUCCAUAGAUCUAGUCUGCUGGAAUGCUUUUAGAUCGAAAGAUUUAUCGCCUAAGGAUAAGUCUGCGGACUAUCAGGUUGUAGUCAGGGUAAAGACCUGACUAGCCUACGACGGAUACGGGUAGUGAGAGCUUUAGCCCGGAGAUGAUAUCUGAGACACGAUAUCAGGCCCUACGGGGCGCAGCAGGCGCGAAAACUUUGCACUGUGCGAAAGCACGACAAGGGAAUCCCAAGUGCUGGCUCGUAAGAGUCAGCUGUUUUUCUGUCUAAAACGCAGAGAGAGUAAGGGCUGGGUAAGACGGGUGCCAGCCGCCGCGGUAAUACCUGCAGCCCAAGUGGUGGCCGCUAUUAUUGGGCCUAAAACGUCCGUAGCCGGUUCUAUAAAUGCCUGGGUAAAUCGUACGGCUUAACCGUACGAAUUCCGGGUAGACUGUUCAACUUGGGACCGGGAGAGGCUAGAGGUACUCCUGGAGUAGAGGUGAAAUUCUGUAAUCCUAGGGGGACCACCAGUGGCGAAGGCGUCUAGCUAGAACGGGUCUGACGGUGAGGGACGAAGCCCUGGGGCGCAAACGGGAUUAGAUACCCCGGUAGUCCAGGGUGUAAACGCUGCUUGCUUGAUGUUAGUCGGGCUCCGAGCCCAACUAGUGUCGGAGAGAAGUUGUUAAGCAAGCUGCCUGGGGAGUACGGCCGCAAGACUGAAACUUAAAGGAAUUGGCGGGGGAGCACCGCAACGGGUGGAGCGUGCGGUUUAAUUGAAUCAACCCCGGG